CCACGGUAUGACCGAUGAUUGGGGUGAAGUCGUAACAAGGUAGCCGUAGGUGAACCUGCAGAAGGAUCA
rnacentral:rRNA from 1 species